rnacentral:rRNA from 1 species
UGGGGAAUAUUGCACAAUGGGCGCAAGCCUGAUGCAGCCAUGCCGCGUGUAUGAAGAAGGCCUUCGGGUUGUAAAGUACUUUCAGCGGGGAGGAAGGGAGUAAAGUUAAUACCUUUGCUCAUUGACGUUACCCGCAGAAGAAGCACCGGCUAACUCCGUGCCAGCAGCCGCGGUAAUACGGAGGGUGCAAGCGUUAAUCGGAUUUAUUGGGCGUAAAGCGAGCGCAGGCGGUUUCUUAAGUCUGAUGUGAAAGCCCCCGGCUCAACCGGGGAGGGUCAUUGGAAACUGGGAGACUUGAGUGCAGAAGAGGAGAGUGGAAUUCCAUGUGUAGCGGUGAAAUGCGUAGAUAUAUGGAGGAACACCAGUGGCGAAGGCGGCUCUCUGGUCUGUAACUGACGCUGAGGCUCGAAAGCGUGGGGAGCAAACAGG